GACGAACGCUGGCGGCAUGCCUAACACAUGCAAGUCGAACGGAGAUUAUUUCGGUAAUCUUAGUGGCGAACGGGUGAGUAACGCGUGGGCAACCUGCCCUCUAGAUGGGGACAACAUCCCGAAAGGGGUGCUAAUACCGAAUGUGACAGCAAUCUCGCAUGAGGAUGCUGUGAAAGAUGGCCUCUAUUUAUAAGCUAUCGCUAGAGGAUGGGCCUGCGUCUGAUUGGCUAGUUGGUGGGGUAACGGCCUACCAAGGCGAUGAUCAGUAGCCGGUCUGAGAGGAUGAACGGCCACAUUGGGACUGAGACACGGCCCAGACUCCUACGGGAGGCAGCAGUGGGGAAUCUUCCGCAAUGGGCGAAAGCCUGACGGAGCAAUGCCGCGUGAGUGAUGAAGGAAUUCGUUCCGUAAAGCUCUUUUGUUUAUGACGAAUGUGCAGAUUGUGAACAAUGAUCUGUAAUGACGGUAGUAAACGAAUAAGCCACGGCUAACUACGUG
rnacentral:rRNA from 1 species